rnacentral:lncRNA from 1 species
ACUCCCACCUACUCCUACACCCACUUACUCCAUCAACAUCACCACCCACUUCCACCACCAACAUCACCAUCAAUCCCCUGCACUAUACCUCAAGCACACCUCAUUCAUCACUAAUAAUUUCAAUCAUGCUUUCCACUUCAUCUCACACACGAUUCAUUCCCGAGUUUACCAAAUUAUCUCUCUCAAGAAAAAGCUCAAUCUUAGACAAAAGAAACAACAGCAACAUUCAACCAAAGUUGGA